AAAAUCUGGGCUGGUGGCCUGGACUUAGCCUGAGCAGCUUGGCUGUCAGAAAACAACUGCUGGUUUGGGACACAGCCCAUGGAUUAAAACUUCUCACUCAGCCUUGCCAGCGCUGUGAGACCUCCAUGGUAAAAAUGGCUGUCAACUCAAAGAGCUGUACCCCUCUGAGACCAGGCAGUUGUGUGGCUGGCUUCCACUGCCUGACACUCCAUUUGGACUGAUGGCAGAGGCUUGGGGUGGGGACUCCAGGCCAGCAGGAGGCCCAGCAGAUCUCAUUGCUGCAGGGUGGCUGGCUGGCCUCAAGGACAUAUGAGUUGUCUCUCUCCUGCUGUGGGCAACUGGCAAGCAGUGAAGGGGACUCCCAGGAGGAACCAGGGAGAACUUGAGGAGGUCUGAGAAAGCAACCAAGAUCUAGAGAGGUGAUGUGACUUAUGGGAGACCCCAGAGUAAACUGGUGGCAGAAGAAAGACCAGAUCCAGCCCUCUGACUCCCUCAUUCCAAGGGAAGAUCACACACUAUCAAUCAGAAGCUGACUGAGUGCUCUGGCAUCAUCAGUACAAACUUGUUAGUGCCUCUCAGGGUGAAGCCAUAUGCAGUCUAACUUCUGGAGGCACAGAACUUCCUAAGAAGGCUGGAUCAGGAGACUCCACCUCCCUGUGGACUAGACAACAGCUCUUCCCCUAAGGCUACCUAACAGAGCUGGCGGGCUCUGAGCCUUCUUGCCAUGUGUUGUUGGGAUUUGAAUUUCUUGGCACCAGCCCAGAGCUCUCAUGGAGGUUCACCUGAGUUCUGAGUGAGCUGGGCAUAAGGAAUUGCUGGGAGGCCACAAACACUGGAAUUAGUAAAUCGGGGAGUGUGGCAAGGGAAAGCAGUUAUAGGCACCAUGCUUCAAAUCAGGACACCAGACGCAUACGCCAGGCUGAUGGGUAAUCUGGGACCUGGCUGCCAGUGAGUUAAGAUGACCUUGAAAUAACAGCUAAAGAGCAAACAUGAAGCAAAUAGGCAGGCCUCCACCUCUGGCUAACCUCCCCGAGAAGCACGGAGCUGAGGUUGCAGCAAAGACAUUCAGGAGAUCAGCCAGCCAGCAAACGUCAGCUCAGGCAUGUCUGGGGAGCUGGGCGGCUAGUGGGGACCGUAAUGCCGGGUUGCUACAAUCUGCAUCAACUUUCAAUCCAGCCUGUGGCAGCCAUGCCAGGGGUCACGAGCAGCUAAUGACUUUUUGUAGCCUGGAGCUGGCUGGCAGGCAUUUCCUGAGCAUUACUGUGUGGGCAGGUGUUGGUGCCUUGAGUCCUCUUGGGGCAAUUCAGCAGACAUCACUGGAGCACCUGGAGGUGCUCAGAGGCUGGCAUGGCCUUGGAGGCUGAAAAUGGAACCCAAAGAUUGAGGAGAUGCUCUGGACGGGGAUACAGGAAGGGUUUGCUUUGAGCUCCCAGGACGGACAACUCGGAUCCAUCAACACCACUCACAUGUCCUGAACGCUCUUCUCUUCUGCCAAGGAUGAAGAUAAAUAUUUACCUUUGAAUGCAGAAUAAUGUCUGAAGCUACAUAAUGCGUGAAAGGCCUUCCUUUUAAUCAGGGAUGGAUUUCAUUAAUGUUUAUUCUUUCUGGGCAAAGCCUUUUUCUCUGCUGAUAGCAACUUCCACUUGGAACUAC
rnacentral:lncRNA from 1 species